rnacentral:rRNA from 1 species
GCUUGCUUCUUGGGGUUGUAGGACACUCUAUACGGAGUUACAAAAGAAAGUUAUAAAUGAAGCGGUCUGGAAAGGCCCGCCAAAGACGGUAACAGCCCGGUAGUUGAAAUGGCUUUCCCUCCAGAGUGGAUCCUGAGUACGGCGGAACACGUGAAAUUCCGUCGGAAUCCGGGAGGACCAUCUCCCAAGGCUAAAUACUCCCUAGUGACCGAUAGUGAACCAGUACCGUGAGGGAAAGGUGAAAAGCACCCCGGAAGGGGAGUGAAACAGUUCCUGAAACCGUGUGCCUACAAGUAGUUAGAGCCCGUUAAUGGGUGAUAGCGUGCCUUUUGUAGAAUGAACCGGCGAGUUACGAUUUGUUGCAAGGUUAAGCGGAAAAAGCGGAGCCGUAGCGAAAGCGAGUCUGAAUAGGGCGCAUAAGUAACAGGUCGUAGACCCGAAACCAGGUGAUCUACCCAUGUCCAGGAUGAAGGUAAGGUAAUACUUACUGGAGGUCCGAACCCACGCACGUUGAAAAGUGCGGGGAUGAGGUGUGGGUAGCGGAGAAAUUCCAAUCGAACUUGGAGAUAGCUGGUUCUCUCCGAAAUAGCUUUAGGGCUAGCCUCGAGGUAAAGAGUCAUGGAGGUAGAGCACUGUUUGGACUAGGGGCCCUUCUCGGGUUACCGAAUUCAGAUAAACUCCGAAUGCCAUGUACUUAUACUCGGGAGUCAGACUGCGAGUGAUAAGAUCCGUAGUCGAAAGGGAAACAGCCCAGACCACCAGUUAAGGUCCCCAAAUAUAUGUUAAGUGGAAAAGGAUGUGGGGUUGCUUAGACAACCAGGAUGUUGGCUUAGAAGCAGCCACCAUUGAAAGAGUGCGUAAUAGCUCACUGGUCGAGUGACCCCGCGCCGAAAAUGUACCGGGGCUAAACAUAUUACCGAAACUGUGGAUGAACCUCUUUAGAGGUUCGUGGUAGGAGAGCGUUCUAAGGGCGGUGAAGUCAGACCGGAAGGACUGGUGGAGCGCUUAGAAGUGAGAAUGCCGGUAUGAGUAGCGAAAGAAGGGUGAGAAUCCCUUCCACCGAAUAUCUAAGGUUUCCUGAGGAAGGCUCGUCCGCUCAGGGUUAGUCGGGACCUAAGCCGAGGCCGAUAGGCGUAGGCGAUGGACAACAGGUAGAGAUUCCUGUACCAGUGCUAAUUGUUUAACCGAUGGGGUGACACAGAAGGAUAGGGAAUCGCACGAAUGGAAAUGUGCGUCCAAGCAGUGAGUGUGAGAAGUAGGCAAAUCCGCUUCUCGCGAAGCAUGAGCUGUGAUGGGGAAGGAAAUUAAGUACGGAAGUUCCUGAUUUCACGCUGUCAAGAAAAGCCUCUAGGAAGAGUAGUACUGCCCGUACCGCAAACCGACACAGGUAGAUGAGGAGAGAAUCCUAAGGUGAGCGAGAGAACUCUCGUUAAGGAACUCGGCAAAAUGACCCCGUAACUUCGGGAGAAGGGGUGCUCUAUUAGGGUGCAAGCCCGAGAGAGCCGCAGUGAAUAGGCCCAGGCGACUGUUUAGCAAAAACACAGGUCUCUGCAAAACCGUAAGGUGACGUAUAGGGGCUGACGCCUGCCCGGUGCUGGAAGGUUAAGAGGAGUGCUUAGCUUCGGCGAAGGUACGAAUUGAAGCCCCAGUAAACGGCGGCCGUAACUAUAACGGUCCUAAGGUAGCGAAAUUCCUUGUCGGGUAAGUUCCGACCCGCACGAAAGGCGCAACGAUCUGGGCACUGUCUCAACGAGAGACUCGGUGAAAUUAUAGUACCUGUGAAGAUGCAGGUUACCCGCGACAGGACGGAAAGACCCCGUGGAGCUUUACUGCAACCUGAUAUGGAAUGUUUGUACCGCUUGUACAGGAUAGGUAGGAGCCGAAGAGACGUGUGCGCUAGCAUACGAGGAGGCAAUGGUGGGAUACUACCCUGGCUGUAUGACCAUUCUAACCCGCCACGCUUAGCGCGUGGGGAGACAGUGUCAGGUGGGCAGUUUGACUGGGGCGGUCGCCUCCUAAAGAGUAACGGAGGCGCCCAAAGGUUCCCUCAGAAUGGAUGGAAAUCAUUCGCAGAGUGUAAAGGCACAAGGGAGCU